GGGAAUGUGGCUUAACAGUAGAGUGCUUGCCUAACAUGCAUGAAAUCCUGGGUUCGAUUCCUCAGUUCCA
rnacentral:tRNA from 1 species